GAAAUGCGAUAAGUAAUGUGAAUUGCAGAAUUCAGUGAAUCAUCGAAUCUUUGAACGCACCUUGCGCUCCUUGGUAUUCCUUGGAGCAUGCCUGUUUGAGUAUCAUGAAAUCUUCAAAGUAAAUCUUUUGUUAACUCAAUUGGUUUCUACUUUGGUAUUGGAGGUCUUUGCAGCUUCACACCUGCUCCUCUUUGUUCAUUAGCUGGAUCUCAGUGUUAUGCUUGGUUCCACUCGGCGUGAUAAGUUAUCUAUCGCUGAGGACACUGUAGAAGGUGGCCAAGGUAAAUGCAGAUGAACCGCUUCUAAUAGUCCAUUGACUUGGACAAUACUUUUAUGAUCUGAUCUCAAAUCAGGUAGGACUACCCGCUGAACUUAAGC
rnacentral:misc_RNA from 1 species